rnacentral:lncRNA from 1 species
CCUGUAUAUAUCAUCUAUUCCAUUUCCUUUAUAUAUUAGCAAAUGUGUGCAUUUGUUUAGCUCCAUCACUCACAUCCAAGUAUUCAUGGAGGAAGUUGACAAAGACGAAAAGAAAAGUAAAUCAAGACUUGUUAACUGAAUUCCUCUUUCUAGUGACCCGAAUGUAGGCGACGACUGUUGCAAGGAUGGCGACGACAAGCCCCCCAACUAUCACAUGUGCCCCGGCAAUUGAUUUAUCAAAUGGAUGGCAGGGGUGCUUACUGUGCUGGCCGCUUCCACCAGCAAAUUCGGAUUCCUCACCAUUUGGAGUCGCACCGAUCGAUGGUGCAUCGGCCUCGCCAGGCCUGCCGAGCUCUAAAGCAAUUCUGACUUCCAUAGAAAUCAGCCUAGCCAUUACUAAACUUGUGACGAGAUCAAGUGAGAACAAGCAGAAGAGAAGCAAACGAGCCAUGGAUGAAGAAGAUUUAUAUGCUUAAGUUCUAAGAAAAGAGGACGGGGG